rnacentral:rRNA from 1 species
AUUGAACGCUGGCGGCAUGCCUUACACAUGCAAGUCGAACGGCAGCGGGCCUUCGGGUGCCGGCGAGUGGCGAACGGGUGAGUAAUGCAUCGGAACGUGCCAUUGAGUGGGGGGAUAACGUAGCGAAAGUUGCGCUAAUACCGCAUAUUCUGUGAGCAGGAAAGCAGGGGACCGCAAGGCCUUGCGCUCUUUGAGCGGCCGAUGUCAGAUUAGCUAGUUGGUGAGGUAACGGCUUACCAAGGCGACGAUCUGUAGCGGGUCUGAGAGGAUGAUCCGCCACACUGGAACUGAGACACGGUCCAGACUCCUACGGGAGGCAGCAGUGGGGAAUUUUGGACAAUGGGGGCAACCCUACGAUCCACGCCACUGCCGCCGUGAGUGAAGAAGGACCGUCGGUU